ACUAAUAAGGACUAGGGAUCUAGUAAGAGAUCCCAUUCUCACUUUUUUUUCGUUCCAUGUGUUGGCUACUUUGGAAUAACAACCGACUUUUUAUUUUUCAAAUAUGCGUGCAUAACUAUUAAUGGAUUAAUGCGUGUAUAUGCUGAAGUAAACUUUCUUAUCGACUGUUUUAAAGAAGUGUGGACAAGACAUGUGUUUCUUGCUAAAAUGGACUGUUUUUCUCUGGACUGUAAAUGCUAUUCCCUGCACUACUGGAAUGGCAGUGAACGAAAGAAUAGAAAACUCGAGAUGUCCUCCUUUAAACAUCGACAAGGGAAGGUUCUCCUACAGUUUUAAUGGUCCACAGCCGGAGUUCACAGGUUUUGACCUGACGGAGACGUUUCUCCAGAGGAAGGGGACAGUAAGAGAGGAAAGGUCAUCGUUCCGGCUAGGAAGCAGCCCCCUCAUCAAGCCAACAGAAUCGGUGUUCCCCAACGGUCUUUCCAGUGAAUACUCUGUGGUCGCCACCUUCCGGCUGCGGAAAACCACCAAGAAGGAUCGCUGGUAUCUGUGGCGGAUAUUUGACCAAACAGGAAACACUCAGGUGUCCAUAGUGUUAGACGGCGCUAAAAGAGCGAUGGAGUUCUCAGCCCAGAGCCUCCUGAAGAAAAGCCUCCAUUACACGUUCAGGAGCCGAGACCUGCACGCCCUGUUCGACCGCCAGUGGCACAGACUGGGCGUGGCCGUCCAGAGCAGCGUCGUGUCCAUCUACGUCGACUGUAAACUGACGGAGAAGAGGCUGACGGACGAGAAGGAUGACAUCGACCUCGGCGGACACACGCUGAUCGCCACCCGGAUGGAGGACGGGCGGCCUGUAGAUAUUGAACUCCAACAUAUGCUGGUGUACUGCGACCCAUACCUGGCGGAGAUGGAGAACUGCUGUGAAGUGGCAGGAUCCGCGUGUGAGCUGAGCAGUACGGGCCUUGGUCCUGCUGGGGUGACCCCCGACCCGCUGGUCCCCGCUGGAACCGGUCCGCUCCCCGGGAUGCUCUCCCAGCCAGUCCUGGUCCAACAGUCCCAGCCAGCCAGUGACCCAUGUCAGUGUUCAGGAGAGAAGGGUGAUCAAGGUCUACCAGGCUUGGCAGGACUUCCAGGGCAGAAAGGUGACCAAGGAGAAAAGGGAGAGAUGGGGGAAAGUGGGUUGACCGGAACCCCAGGCCAGAAGGGCGACCAGGGGGCUUCUGGGUUCUCAGGUCUGGAUGGGCUUCCUGGACCAAAGGGGGAGGCCGGAUUGAAUGGGUCUAACGGGAUUGAUGGGACAUUGGGUGAUAAGGGAUCCACGGGGGAGCCUGGCGUGGAAGGAAAACCUGGAGUCAAUGGUUUGAAAGGAGACCCAGGAAGGUCUGGCCCUAUUGGCCCCAAAGGUGAUAAAGGGGAUAUGGGUGCCCAAGGCCCCCCAGGUCCAACUAUUGAGAAAGGGAGACUUAAGGGAGAUCAGGGUUUGCCGGGCCUGCCGGGUCAACCAGGGGUUCCGGGCAAAGAGGGCAAAAGGGGUCGUAGAGGGAAGACAGGGGAACCUGGACCCAGAGGCUUGCCUGGAGGGAAAGGUGACAUGGGCGUCCCCGGAGAAAAAGGAGAUCAGGGCGAUCCUGGUCAGCCAGGUGGGGAUGGGGUCUCUGGGAUUAAAGGACAGAAGGGUGAAGAAGGUCCAAGAGGACUUCCAGGCCCGGUGAUGACAGCUCAUGGACUGAGACAUCUGUCUGUCUCGGAGGGUGAAGCAAAAGAGAAGGGACAAAAAGGUGAAAUGGGUGAUCCGGGCGAAAGAGGAUUCCAAGGACCUCAGGGUUUGAAGGGAAGCCUAGGACCACCAGGUCCAAAGGGAGAACCCGGCCCAGAGGGUAAAGGAGGUUCUCAAGGCCUCAUCGGACUCCCCGGUGUUGCAGGAGAGAAAGGCGACCUGGGCGUACCUGGCAGAGACGGCCUUAAAGGAGACAAGGGGGACUCUGGUGGUGCGAUGGGGCCCCCGGGCCUGCCUGGACCCAAGGGAGAGCCUGGAGAGCCAGGAGCAGGAAACCAGCAGGGCGAGACGGUGACACCUGGAGCCAGAGGAUCUCGAGGGCCAAAGGGUGAGCGUGGUGUCCCUGGGGUACCAGGAGAUGCCGGGGAGAAAGGAGAGCCUGGUCGGGGUGUUGAAGGGCCUCCUGGCCCAGUUGGACCGAGAGGGGAGAGAGGAAUGGAGGGCUCUCGUGGACCCCCUGGGUUCUCAGGUCCUGCUGGGAUCCCAGGAAGGGAGGGGCCCCCUGGUAGAGAGGGUCCCCCAGGUCCCCCUGGGCCCCCGGGUGAGCCAACCGCCUUGCCAAUCCUUGGAGAUGUGAGUGUUUUGCUCAAGAAUGCCUGCAGUGUGUGCCAGGCCAGAGUACCCGGUCUGCCUGGGCAGAAGGGCGAGAAGGGAACCCUCGGCGCCCCAGGAGUGGAAGGCUUGGUGGGAGAAAAGGGGGACCCGGGAGCCCGAGGACCUCUGGGUAAUCCAGGAAAAGAAGGGCCCAAGGGCGUGAAAGGAGAGCGAGGAUUCCCUGGGCCCAGUGGAGAGAAAGGAGAUGAGGGCUCUCCUGGAGUUCCUGGUUUGCCAGGUACAACAGGCCGCACAGGACCCCCGGGGGUGAUGGGAAGGCCAGGACCAAUGGGCCAAUCUGGAACCAAGGGAGAGAGGGGUAGUGAAGGCUCCCCUGGUAGACCAGGCCCACCGGGUCCCCCGGGUGGCCCAUAUGUGGAGGGCAAUGGGAUGAGCAGUCUGUACAAACUUCAGGGUGGGGGAGCCAUUGCGGGACCCCCUGGGGAACCAGGUCCUCCGGGGCCAAAAGGUGAUGAAGGGAGAGCGGGAGAUCCAGGAGCCAUGGGUUUACCUGGACUAGAAGGGCUACCUGGAUCCAAGGGUGAUCAGGGUUUGUCUGGAACACCUGGAAUACCAGGCCCUUCAGGGAAACCUGGAGCUCGUGGAGAGCCAGGAACUCCCGGGGAACCGGGUGACAGGGGUCCACUGGGGGAGACAGGGUUCCCAGGCCCUGAGGGACCCCAAGGUGUUCCUGGAAGAGCUGGAAAAGAUGGGAUACCUGGAUAUGAGGGAGCCACAGGUCGUCCGGGCGACAGAGGAUCCAAAGGAGAACGUGGAGACCCAGGGAUUCCUGGAGAGAGGGGAGUCCAGGGGGAGAGGGGAAGGACAGGAGACCCGGGAAUAGUGGGACCUGUCGGGCCUCGGGGCCUCCCAGGAGACCCCGGUCCCCCGGGUCCGGUUGCGUCGCCGAGCCCUCUGAAUGAUGCCAACUCCUUGGAGGAAAUUAAAAUGUUUAUCCGAAAUGAAGUUCUGCGGGUGUUUGAAGAGAGACUGUCAAGCUUCGCCAUGCAGAAGACGCCAGCAGCCAUUUUAGCGGCGCAGGUUCGUCAGGGGCCUCCCGGUCCCCCCGGCAACGACGGGUCCCCGGGGCCUCCAGGGGAAGCGGGCCCCUCCGGCCCUCAAGAAUGAACAGAAACAUGAAGAUAAACGUGUUUGCUUAAAUAAGACCGAAGCUGACAUUGGGUCAUGGUUAGUCUUCCAAGAUUCUCUUCAAAUCCAAAGAUGAAGAGUUGGACGGAGAAUAAGAGAAAGUAAUCUCAGUUUGGACAGAAAAGAGUACCACGAUUGAUACCUCACUGCUCUCCACUCUACGAAUAACAAAACUUUGUAUAAAAAAAAAAAGAAUUACUGAAAGUAAAGAGCAAGGGAAUAAGUUUGGAGAGAGUGGACAUCCUUUUAAAACUCUGGGCUACUAUCACACAAACAACCUUCUACAUCAAUAACAAUUUGCUUUGCUGGUGGCAUUUAGUACCUCUGUAAGACAUUUAAAAAGAUUUACCCAGCAUGCUGUGCCUACAGUGUAACCCUCUUUACGUCUUAGAGGGUAUUACACAUUCUUCUGGAAUCUAGUAAUGCUUUUCAUCCUCAUUUUGGGAGCUGUAAUAUAUUGCUAGAAUAUGUCUGCUUUGAGAUUUUCCUUUUAACAAGACAUAUUUAUGAUGCAAUAUAUUGAUGGAACCCUUUUUGGUUCAGUAUAGCGUAUUUUCUUCCGGCAGUCUAGUAUGUUGGGUUGUGACAGACAGUGCAUAUGAAAUGCUAUUGAAUGUGUCGGCCCUUGUUUCUCAGACCAUGGGCCUCCAACUACCUCACAGCGCUAUGCUUAUCUUACUACCAGUGUUUGUUCUACCAACGUUUUUCCCCUAUGCUUAUCUUACUACCAGUGUUAGUUCUACCAACGUUUUACCCCUAUGCUUAUCUUACUACCAGUGUUAGUUCUACCAACGUUUUUCAACUAUGCUUAUCUUACUACCGCUGUUAGUUCUACCAAAAUGUUUCACCUAUCCUUUUCUUGCUACCAGUAUCUUACUACUCUUGAUUCUUCCAAAGUGUUUUACCUAUGUUUAUGUUACUACCAGUGUUGGUUGUACUACAGUGUUUCACCUGCAUUUUUCUUACUAUCAGUGUUAUUUCUGUUGAAGUGUUUUUCUUUUAUUUAUCUUCCAGCGUUAGUGCUAUGAAAGUGUUACUUACUAUGGGAAUAUACAGUGUCUCUCAAAUGUAUUCACCUCCCCUUGGACUUUUCCACAGCUUACUGUGUUACAACAUGAAACUGAAAUGGAAAUUAGGAGAUUUUGCCACUGAUAAACACAAAGUGUCAAAAAUAUAUAUAUAAUU